GCCCGUGUAGCUCAGUGGUAGAGCAUUGUACUUAUGAGGUUGCCUGACCUAAUUGCGAGAUGCAAGGGUCCCGAGUUCGAUCCUCGGCGUGGGCA